GGAAAGGCCCCUUCGGGGGUACUCGAGUGGCGAACGGGUGAGUAACACGUGGGCAAUCUGCCCUGCACUUCGGGAUAAGCCUGGGAAACUGGGUCUAAUACCGGAUAGGACCUUUAGGCGCAUGUCUUUAGGUGGAAAGCUUUUGCGGUGUGGGAUGGGCCCGCGGCCUAUCAGCUUGUUGGUGGGGUGAUGGCCUACCAAGGCGACGACGGGUAGCCGGCCUGAGAGGGUGUCCGGCCACACUGGGACUGAGAUACGGCCCAGACUCCUACGGGAGGCAGCAGUGGGGAAUAUUGCACAAUGGGCGCAAGCCUGAUGCAGCGACGCCGCGUGGGGGAUGACGGCCUUCGGGUUGUAAACCUCUUUCACCAUCGACGAAGGUCCGGGUUUUCUCGGAUUGACGGUAGGUGGAGAAGAAGCACCGGCCAACUACGUGCCAGCAGCCGCGGUAAUACGUAGGGUGCGAGCGUUGUCCGGAAUUACUGGGCGUAAAGAGCUCGUAGGUGGUUUGUCGCGUUGUUCGUGAAAUCUCACGGCUUAACUGUGAGCGUGCGGGCGAUACGGGCAGACUAGAGUACUGCAGGGGAGACUGGAAUUCCUGGUGUAGCGGUGGAAUGCGCAGAUAUCAGGAGGAACACCGGUGGCGAAGGCGGGUCUCUGGGCAGUAACUGACGCUGAGGAGCGAAAGCGUGGGGAGCGAACAGGAUUAGAUACCCUGGUAGUCCACGCCGUACACGGUGGGUACUAGGUGUGGGUUUCCUUCCUUGGGAUCCGUGCCGUAGCUACGCAUUAAGUACCCCGCCUGGGGAGUACGGCCGCAAGGCUAAAACUCAAGGAUUGACUGGGGCCCGCACAAGCGGCGGAGCAUGUGGAUUAAUUCGAUGCAACGCGAGAACCUUACCUGGGUUUGACAUGCACAGGACGCGUCUAGAGAUAGCGUCCUGUUG
rnacentral:rRNA from 1 species